rfam:Treponema denticola ATCC 35405, complete genome.
ACCGGCACGGAUGCCGGUGGUUCCAAACUUCCAAGAGUUUUAGACGCAAGUCUAAAACUCUAAGCUGAAAAAUGUACAAGGAUGUACAUUUUUCAGCGGAU